rnacentral:rRNA from 1 species
AUUGAACGCUGGCGGCAGGCCUAACGCAUGCAAGUCGAGCGGAUGAAGGGAGCUUGCUCCCUGAUUCAGCGGCGGACGGGUGAGUAAUGCCUAGGAAUCUGCCUGAUAGUGGGGGACAACGCUUCGAAAGGAACGCUAAUACCGCAUACGUCCUACGGGAGAAAGCAGGGGACCUUCGGGCCUUGCGCUAUCAGAUGAGCCUAGGUCGGAUUAGCUAGUUGGUGAGGUAAUGGCUCACCAAGGCGACGAUCCGUAACUGGUCUGAGAGGAUGAUCAGUCACACUGGAACUGAGACACGGUCCAGACUCCUACGGGAGGCAGCAGUGGGGAAUAUUGGACAAUGGGCGAAAGCCUGAUCCGGCCAUGCCGCGUGUGUGAAGAAGGUCUUCGGAUUGUAAAGCACUUUAAGUUGGGAGGAAGGGCAUUAACCUAAUACGUUAGUGUUUUGACGUUUACCGACAGAAUAAGCACCGGCUAACUUCGUGCCAGC